rnacentral:rRNA from 1 species
UACGGAGGGGGCUAGCGUUGUUCGGAAUUACUGGGCGUAAAGCGCGCGUAGGCGGCUUUGUAAGUUAGAGGUGAAAGCCCGGAGCUCAACUCCGGAACUGCCUUUAAGACUGCAUCGCUAGAACGUCGGAGAGGUAAGUGGAAUUCCGAGUGUAGAGGUGAAAUUCGUAGAUAUCGGGAGGAACACCAGUGGCGAAGGCGACUACCUGGCCUGUUCUUGACGCUGAGGCGCGAAAGCUAGGGGAGCAAACGGG